rnacentral:rRNA from 1 species
UGGGGAAUAUUGGACAAUGGACCAAAAGUCUGAUCCAGCAAUUCUGUGUGCACGAUGAAGGUCUUCGGAUUGUAAAGUGCUUUCAGUUGGGAAGAAGAAAGUGACGGUACCAACAGAAGAAGCGACGGCUAAAUACGUGCCAGCAGCCGCGGUAAUACGUAUGUCGCAAGCGUUAUCCGGAUUUAUUGGGCGUAAAGCGCGUCUAGGCGGAAAAAUAAGUCUGAUGUUAAAAUGCGGGGCUCAACUCCGUAUUGCGUUGGAAACUGUUUUUCUAGAGUACUGGAGAGGUGGGCGGAACUACAAGUGUAGAGGUGAAAUUCGUAGAUAUUUGUAGGAAUGCCGAUGGAGAAGUCAGCUCACUGGACAGAUACUGACGCUAAAGCGCGAAAGCGUGGGGAGCAAACAGG